rnacentral:rRNA from 1 species
AGUGAACGCUGGCGGUAGGCCUAACACAUGCAAGUCGAACGGCAGCACAGUAAGAGCUUGCUCUUACGGGUGGCGAGUGGCGGACGGGUGAGGAAUACAUCGGAAUCUACUUUUUCGUGGGGGAUAACGUAGGGAAACUUACGCUAAUACCGCAUACGACCUACGGGUGAAAGCAGGGGAUCUUCGGACCUUGCGCGAUUGAAUGAGCCGAUGUCGGAUUAGCUAGUUGGCGGGGUAAAGGCCCACCAAGGCGACGAUCCGUAGCUGGUCUGAGAGGAUGAACAGCCACACUGGAACUUGGCCGCGGUCCAAACUCCUACGGGCGGCAGCAGUGUGGAAUUUUGGCCAAUGGGCGCAAACCUAGUCCAGCCCUACCGCGUGGGUGAAGAAGGCUUUCGGGUUGUAAAGCCCUUUUGUUGGGAAAGAAAAGCAGCAGGUUAAUACCCCGCUGUUCUGACGGUACCCAAAGAAUACGCACCGGCUAACUUCGUG